CUAGUACGAGAGGACCGGGAAGGACGCACCUCUGGUGUACCAGUUAUCGUGCCUACGGUAAACGUUGGGUAGCCAAGUGCGGAGAGGAUAACUGCUGAAAGCAUAUAAGUAGUAAGCCCACCCCAAGAUGAGUGCUCUCUCCUCCGACUUCCCUAGAGCCUCCGGUAUCACAGCCGAGACAGCGACGGGUUCUCCACCCAU
rnacentral:rRNA from 1 species